rnacentral:rRNA from 1 species
AUGAACGCUAGCUACAGGCUUAACACAUGCAAGUCGAGGGGCAGCAUGGUCUUAGCUUGCUAAGGCCGAUGGCGACCGGCGCACGGGUGAGUAACACGUAUCCAACCUGCCGUCUACUCUUGGACAGCCUUCUGAAAGGAAGAUUAAUACAAGAUGGCAUCAUGAGUCCGCAUGUUCACAUGAUUAAAGGUAUUCCGGUAGACGAUGGGGAUGCGUUCCAUUAGAUAGUAGGCGGGGUAACGGCCCACCUAGUCUUCGAUGGAUAGGGGUUCUGAGAGGAAGGUCCCCCACAUUGGAACUGAGACACGGUCCAAACUCCUACGGGAGGCAGCAGUGAGGAAUAUUGGUCAAUGGGCGAGAGCCUGAACCAGCCAAGUAGCGUGAAGGGUGACUGCCCUAUGGGUUGUAAACUUCUUUUAUAAAGGAAUAAAGUCGGGUAUGGAUACCCGUUUGCAUGUACUUUAUGAAUAAGGAUCGGCUAACUCCGUGCCAGCAGCCGCGGUAAUACGGAGGAUCCGAGCGUUAUCCGGAUUUAUUGGGUUUAAAGGGAGCGUAGAUGGAUGUUUAAGUCAGUUGUGAAAGUUUGCGGCUCAACCGUAAAAUUGCAGUUGAUACUGGAUAUCUUGAGUGCAGUUGAGGCAGGCGGAAUUCGUGGUGUAGCGGUGAAACGCUUAGAUAUCACGAAGAACUCCGAUUGCGAAGGCAGCCUGCUAAGCUGCAAC